GUACCCGGAUGUGUCACGUCACAUUAGUGCGCGCUACGUCAUACAAUCCCAUGGUCCAACAUUUCUCUGAACGCUGCAGAUUUGUGCAAAGGAAUUACGACCCGACCCUGCAUCCUUUUGAGGGGCCCAGAGAAUACACCAGGGCCCACUAAACUGGAGAGAGUGUUUGCCAAACCCUUUGUAGCUUCACUAGAUGGACACAGAGCACAUCAGCUGCAUCACCAAACACAACAAAAGCAUGUCAACAAUCAUCUGUGGUGCCUGCGAUGGGGAGGUAGAGGAUGACAAGAGCAUCAAACAGUGGAACAUAGAGGCCCCGGUGCAUGGAGUUCGGGAGGAACCAAUUAACAUGAUUCUGGGAAAGGUACAGUUUUAUCUUACAGAUAUUAUAUCAAAGAUUAUAUAUAUUAUUAUAAAAUGCAGAAAUUGCUGCAUUUAUUUGACAUAAAAUAAAUUAAUUUUGUAAUACAAUAAUAUUAUGGAAUAUUAUUAUAAUUUAAAAUAACAGUCUUCAUUGUCAC
rnacentral:lncRNA from 1 species